rnacentral:rRNA from 1 species
CCCUUAGAUGUUCUGGGCCGCACGCGCGCUACACUGACGAAUGCAACGAGCUUAUAACCUUGGCCGUAAGGUCUGGGUAAUCUCCAAAUUUCGUCGUGAUGGGGAUAGAUUAUUGCAAUUAUUAAUCUUCAACGAGGAAUGCCUAGUAAGCGCAAGUCAUCAGCUUGCGUUGAUUACGUCCCUGCCCUUUGUACACACCGCCCGUCGCUCCUACCGAUUGAAUGGUCCGGUGAAGCGUUCGGACCGUGGCCUUUGGACGGUUCGCCGUCUGUUGGCUGCGGGAAGUUCGUUAAACCUUAUCAUUUAGAGGAAGGAGAAGUCGUAACA